UCCCAAGUGGCUCAGUGGCUAAAGAAUCUGCCUGCAAUGCAGGAGACAUGGGUUCAAUCCCCACAUCAGGAA
rnacentral:tRNA from 1 species